CAAAUUAGUAUUAGAGGUACUGCCUGCCCAGUGACAUAGUUUAACGGCCGCGGUAUCCUGACCGUGCAAAGGUAGCAUAAUCACUUGUCUUCUAAAUAAAGACUAGUAUGAACGGCAAAACGAAGGCUAAACUGUCUCCUUUAUCUAAUCAAUGAAAUUGAUCUUUUGGUACAAAAGCCAAAAUAAAAAAAUAAGACGAGAAGACCCUAUGAAGCUUUAAACAUAAUAGAAAAUUUUAACAACGUUACACGCCAAUACCACUUCUAUAAAGUUUUUGGUUGGGGCGACCACGGAGCAAAAAAAUCCUCCGAGUACAACUGACCAUAGGGUAACCACCCAAGACAUCAGAACCAACUGCCAUUAUUGAUCCAAUUAUUUUUGAUCAACGAACCAAGUUACUCUAGGGAUAACAGCGCAAUCCUCUUUAAGAGCCCAUAUCGACAGGAGGGCUUACGACCUCGAUGUUGGAUCGGGGUAACCUAACAGCGCAACAGUUGUUAAAGGUUUGUUUGUUCAACAAUUAAAAUCCC
rnacentral:rRNA from 1 species